rnacentral:rRNA from 1 species
AUAGCACUAUACGGUGAAACUGCGAAUGGCUCAUUAAAUCAGUUAUCGUUUAUUUGAUAGUACCUUACUACAUGGAUAACCGUGGUAAUUCUAGAGCUAAUACAUGCUAAAAACCUCGACUUCGGAAGGGGUGUAUUUAUUAGAUAAAAAACCAAUGCCCUUCGGGGCUCCUUGGUGAAUCAUAAUAACUUAACGAAUCGCAUGGCCUUGCGCCGGCGAUGGUUCAUUCAAAUUUCUGCCCUAUCAACUUUCGAUGGUAGGAUAGUGGCCUACCAUGGUAUCAACGGGUAACGGGGAAUUAGGGUUCGACUCCGGAGAGGGAGCCUGAGAAACGGCUACCACAUCCAAGGAAGGCAGCAGGCGCGCAAAUUACCCAAUCCCGACACGGGGAGGUAGUGACAAUAAAUACUGAUACAGGGCUCUUUUGGGUCUUGUAAUUGGAAUGAGUACAAUUUAAAUCCCUUAACGAGGAACAAUUGGAGGGCAAGUCUGGGCCAA